AUCUCAUCUGCUAACCAAUCAGCAGCUUCUGUCACUUUUAUUGUGCUUUAAUUUAUUUAUUUCUCCUCGACGGUCGUGUGUUGCAUACGAAGCAAAAGCUGUAGCAUCGUUUUGGGAGAGGUGAAGCAGGCGCUCAUAGCACAUCAGGGACGGACUGAACCGCGGAUUGCAUGACUAGAUUACCCAGAAUCCCCUGAGACGUUGACGCGGUCUGUACAGCACAAAGCUGGGCUCACGUUGGACGUUGAUUAACGCUGGCGCUCCUGCACGUUGUCGAUGAGAGGCUGAGGUGUGUCGUUUCAGCGCCGCACAAAGACAAGAGAGGAAACAAGGGCGUGGCCGACCUGGGUGCCACUUUAAAUUACUCCAUCACUCAGGAGAAUCUGGACUGGACUGCACUUCUACAUUUCCAUUGACCGGGACUUUAAUGUUUGCAGCCCUGCCACUAUAUGCAGCUAGCUAGCUCCAUGCAGGAAUGCUCACAUGAAAACAGAGAGAUAAAUGUUUGGAUAAAACGACGUGAUGUGAUUUUAACAACAAAAAAGAUCCAGUGUGAAUAACUUUGCAGAUCGAAGCAAAUCGAAGCACGAAUAAAUCAGCUUUAACCUUUUAAGACCCUGCGGUCACAUAUGGGGACGUCACCGUACCUUGUUCUGCCUAACUUAGACCUGUUGUCCUCAUUAGUAGACGCUUCUGUCGGCCAUCUAGUGAUACCAGACAAUAAAUAACAUAAAAACAAGAUGAAAAUGCAUAAAAGAUCAAAGCUCGGGUCUUAGGAGGAUAAAUCGAGCAUAAAACGAAGCUGCUAAACACGAUGUGCAGUCAGGACGCUGCAUCAGGUUCUUCAUGAUGUUUAUGUUUGUGCUUUUUACUAUUUAAUGGUAACUGACAGAGAUGAUGUUGUGAUAAAUGACGGCUGAUUUUGAUCUGAGGUCUGUAGAGGAAUUGUGCAUCCUCAAACCCUCGAUCAUGAUCUCUGGUAUCAGCCGAAUUCCCUCCAGCCACAAAGUCAAGGGUUCAUCCACAUGUAGAAUAUUUUAUUUAUUUCCAGCCCUGGACUCCUGAACUGAAUGAACUUUGUAAUCAUUUUAUCAUGUAUACGGGAUGGUGUGUAUAUGGUGUGUACAUGGGAUGGUGUGGGAUUGUACAGUUCCGACCCCCCUCAGUUCCACCGCAUGAUGUAUAAACAUGACUGCAGAACGAACUACGGAGCGUAUAAUUGAACCUGGGACUCAAAAACAAACAGAAGGACUUUUAUUCUGUAUUUUUCUCUGAUUUUAAUCCUGGAUCACGUCACAGGACUUUUAAUCUGAAGCACCUAUAAAAUCUACAAACACUCAAAUAAAGCAAUGGAAUCAUUAAAAAA